UACGAAGGGGGGCUAGCGUUGCUCGGAAUUACUGGGCGUAAAGGGCGCGUAGGCGGAUAGUUUAGUCAGAGGUGAAAGCCCAGGGCUCAACCUUGGAACUGCCUUUGAUACUGGCUAUCUUGAGUUCGGGAGAGGUGAGUGGAAUGCCGAGUGUAGAGGUGAAAUUCGUAGAUAUUCGGCGGAACACCAGUGGCGAAGGCGACUCACUGGCCCGAUACUGACGCUGAGGCGCGAAAGCGUGGGGAGCAAACAGG
rnacentral:rRNA from 1 species